rnacentral:rRNA from 1 species
UGCGCAGGUGGGGAUGUAAGUCAGUGGUGAAAUGUUGCCGCUCAACGGUAAAAUUGCCAUUGAUACUGCAUCUCUUGAGUAUGGUUGAGGUAGGCGGAAUGUGUUGUGUAGCGGUGAAAUGCAUAGAUAUGACACAGAACACCGAUUGCGAAGGCAGCUUACUAAGCCAUUACUGACGCUGAGGCACGGAAGCGUGGGGAGCGAACAGGAUUAGAUACCCUGGUAGUC